CCUACGGGUGGCAGCAGUGAGGAAUAUUGGUCAAUGGGCGCGAGCCUGAACCAGCCAAGUCGCGUGAGGGAAGACGGUCCUAUGGAUUGUAAACCUCUUCUGUCGGGGAGCAAAAGACGCCACGCGUGGCGUUCCGAGAGUACCCGAAGAAAAAGCAUCGGAUAACCCCGUGCCAGCAGCCGCGGUAAUACGGAGGAUGCGAGCUUUAUCCGGAUUUAUGGGGUUUAAAGGGUGCGCAGGGGGAAGAUAAAGUCAGCGGGAAAAUUGAGAGGCUCAACCUCUUCGAGCCGUUGAAACUGGUUUUCUUGAGUGAGCGAGAAGUAUGCGGAAUGCGUGGUGUAGCGGUGAAAUGCAUAGAUAUCACGCAGAACUCCGAUUGCGAAGGCAGCAUACCGGCGCUCAACUGACGCUCAUGCACGAAAGUGUGGGUAUCGAACAGGAUUAGAUACCCGGGUAGUC
rnacentral:rRNA from 1 species